rnacentral:rRNA from 1 species
UACGUAGGGGGCAAGCGUUGUCCGGAUUUAUUGGGCGUAAAGAGCGUGUAGGCGGCCAAGCAGGUCAGCUGUGAAAACUCGAGGCUCAACCUCGAGACGUCGGUUGAAACCGCUUGGCUAGAGUCCGGAAGAGGAGAGUGGAAUUCCCGGUGUAGCGGUGAAAUGCGCAGAUAUCGGGAAGAACACCCGUGGCGAAGGCGGCUCUCUGGGCCAUUACUGACACUGAGAAGCGAAAGCAUGGGGAGCGAACAGG